GUGCUUCCUGCAGCAGCAUAUAUACUAAAAUUGGAACGACACAGAGAAGAUUAACAUGGCCCCCAUGCAAGGAUGACAUACAAAUUUGUAAAGCAUUCCAUAUUUUU
ensembl:snRNA U6 U6 spliceosomal RNA